UUUUAGGAGUGUUCCAAGGUCCCAAAUCAGUUCUCAUAUCCCGAUUAUUUUGGAAAAUAGCUAUAGUGGCGGGAAAGGUUCUUGGAUGCUUGGGAAUGUGUAUUGAGGCGGAAUGGAUUCAAAGAGCCGAGAGUUUCGAUUUGAGGAUGAAGUCUUUAUUAUGGUUUUAUGUGUAUUUUUCCGCACUUAUGUAAUCUCUUUUUAUUACAAUUAAGUUAUGUUUU